GCAGUAUAUAGUGUUCAGUCUAAACUCCUUAAAAAUAAAAAUCACUUUACUGACCAAUCAAAAGUCUGGCAUUUAUUGUAGACGCUGACGAGUGGUGAGAAAAACGCAGCCAUAUUGUGGUCACCUGAACGCAUCCUGACCGCGUUGCCAGGGCGACAGUGUUCAGCCAAGACGCCCGAGUUUCAAGUGUCAUGGCUGCUUUAGCCAAAAUACCAAGUUUUUCGUCCAAAUCGUGGGAAAACAGAGAGUCUGAGGAGGAUGAAACCCACACGGGCACAGUGUUGGAUGUGUUUCAGGGCAAAAUGGCGGAGACCAUCGUGCUGCAGCAGCUGAUCAUCAUCUCUCGGCUCCUCUGUCAGCCUGCCGUCAGGGCAGAACUGGGAGCGCACUUUGAGAAGGUCCACUUCCAGCUCAGUAAAGAGUUUGAGCUGGACCACAUGACCGGCCAGCUGCUGAUUUAUCCGUCGUGUGUGCUGCACAUCGUUGAAUCAUCCAGAGAGGUUCUCCUUUGUGUUCUGAAAGACCUGAAAAAGCUCCAGCAACAUCCAAACCGUGCCAUGGUGGAAGAAUCCAAGGUUCUCUUCCUGCUUCAUAACCCUCACGGACGGCUGUUCCAACAGUGGAGCUACAAGGUGAUCGCUGCAGGUCAGAAGGUCCCGGGCCUCGAGGAGGAGGAGAACACCGAGAGUCUGGUUUGCAUGGUUCUGUCAGCGCUGCAGGAACUGGAAACAUCCAAGCGCGUUCCAGAGUCUUGGGAAUUCAUCAUCUCGCAGGAUCUUGUGCUGAAGCUUUUAGGACAAGAUGACCUCCUGAGUCUAGAGGAUCACCUCCAUCUGUACGACUCGCCGCUAAACAUCAGAAUGGACUUCGGACAAGCUGUUCGAAGUCAGUCCAUCAACAGGGUUUAA
rnacentral:lncRNA from 1 species